AUAGCUUUAGCUGAUGAAUUUAAAGAUUCACGUUUCACAGUGAAUAAAGAAGCAUCUCAGUAUAUAUUUACUAUUAGAAAUGUCAGCAAAGAGGAUGAAGCAACAUAUUUCUGUCAAACACGAACCACAUAUUCACAGAUGUUCAGCAGUGGCACAUUCUUGGCUGUGAAAGAUCACAAUCAUCAGAAAUCUGUUUACGUGAAACAAAAUCCAGAGAAAGAGUCUGUUCUUCUGGGAGACUCUGUGACACUUGAGUGUUCACUUCUCUCCAAGAACAAAGAAAAAGCACUCCAAUGUCCAGAUGACCACAGUGUGUACUGGUUCAGAGCUGGAUCUGAAAGAUUUACUCCAAACAUCAUUUACACUCUCGUGAACAACGGUGAUGAAGCUCUUAAGAGACGAUGUUCCUACAGCCUGACCAAAACAAUACAGAACUCCUCUGAUGCUGGGACUUACUACUGUGCUGUUGUCACAUGUGGGGAGAUCCUGCUUGGUGAAGGAACUAAAGUAGAGACAACAAUCGAAGGAAUGUUUGUCAACGUUGCACAGGAAAAAUGAUUGGCUCCCAUCAUAUUGGCAAGUCAACAGUGGACCAAUCAAAUUCCAUAAAUACGCUUCUGACACUACAACCAGCUGUGCAGCACUGGGUUUCCCCAGAAAAAUAAAGAUGAGAAGAGCAUACACGGAGUGUGUGUACUCUGUUCUCAAAG